rnacentral:rRNA from 1 species
CAGCAGCCGCGGUAAUACGGAGGGGGCUAGCGUUGUUCGGAAUUACCGGGCGUAAAGCGCACGUAGGCGGCUUGGUAAGUUAGAGGUGAAAGCCUGGAGCUCAACUCCAGAAUUGCCUUUAAGACUGCCGAGCUAGCAGGUGAGAGAGGUAAGUGGAAUUCCGAGUGUAGAGGUGAAAUUCGUAGAUAUUCGGAAGAACACCAGUGGCGAAGGCGGCAUACUGGCUCAUACUGGACGCUGAGGUGCGAAAGCGUGGGGAGCAAACAGGAUUAGAUACCCCAGUAGUCCCUGUCUCUUAUAC